UACAGAGGUCUCAACCGUUGUUCGGAUUCAUUGGGCGUAAAGGGUGCGUAGGCGGCGGGGUAAGUCAGGUGUGGAAAUCUCGGGGCUCAACCCCGAAACUGCACUUGAUACUGCCUCGCUUGAGUACUGGAGAGGAGACUGGAAUUUACGGUGUAGCAGUGAAAUGCGUAGAUAUCGUAAGGAAGACCAGUGGCGAAGGCGAGUCUCUGGACAGUUACUGACGCUGAGGCACGAAGGCCAGGGGAGCAAACGGG
rnacentral:rRNA from 1 species